GUCUUUAUUUUUACCUUGUACAUCCCUUCUCUUAGUUUGUACCUGUCCUUACCACCUGUCCCCUUCCCCCAGCUGUCACAGCCCCCGCCCACUCUCCUAAAUUUGACAGGAGCACCUCUGACUCCAAGGCUGUGACUCAAAAGGUAGAACCUCAGCCUGAGAGGGUCCUGACAUUUGGUAAAGAGGUGUGAGGAAGAGAUUGGAGGGGUAGGUGUACACAAUGUUGGCAAUGAAGAAAGAGCUCCUUUACUGGAACAGAAGGAAACUUUGAGUUCAAUACAAUCUCCCUUUCAACUGUAUCUGAACAUGAUGGAAGCUGGUAACAACUUCAGAAGUUAUCCAUUGAGGCUGAGGAAUGACCUCCAAAGAUAUCCAGGUACUAAUUUCUGAAACCUGUGAAUGUUACCUUGUAUGGCAAAAGAAACUGUGCAGAUCUGAAUAAAUAAAGGAUUCUGAGGUAAGCAGAAUUAAAGUGGAUAAUCUAGAUGGGUCCUAAAUGCAAUCAUAAGCAUCCUUCUGUGAAGGACACAGAGGGGGAUUUGACACAUAGAGGAGGCAAUGUCACCACUGAAGCUGUGCUGCUGACUUCAGAUCCAGAGGAAGGGUCCACAAGGCAAGGAGUGCAAGGACUGCAACUUGAGAAGCUGGAAAAGGCAACAAGGAAAGAGAUCUCCCUCCUAGAUACUCUGGAGGAAACUUAACCCUGCCAGUACAUUGAUUUUUACCAGUUAAACUGAUCUUGGACUUCUGAACUGCAGAACCGUGAGGCAAUUAAUCAAUGUGCUGUUGAAAGUCAAUGAAUUUGUGGUGACUUGUUACAAGAAUCAUAGGAGACUAAUACAUUGUAGAAAUCUCUCAUUUGGUCUCCACAAAGAGAGCCUUUCCUUGACCAUGGCUGGCCUCUUGCCCUACUAGAUGCUAUUUCCUUCCAUAACACCUUUCAUUUCCCCUUAUCCCUGAGCACACUGUUCGUUGAAUUGAUAACCUUACCACCUGGAUCAUUAAUUUUAUGAGGACAAGGUCCACCUUUGUUUUGCUAAUCUUGACAUCCUUUUGGCCUAGGUUAUAAUAUUGCAAUCAAUUAUAUUAAGUCACUCAUGUUAGACUACUAUAGUUUGAAUAUGUACUGCAAAGUUUAUGUGUUGGGUACUUAAUUCCCAAUGCAACAGUGUUGCAAGGUGGCAUCUUUAAGAGGUGAUUAGGUCAUGUGGGAUCUGCCCUCAUGAGUGAACUAACGCCAAUAUAAAGGGAGUAGUUCACUUGUUUCUGGAGUGGAUUCCUGAUAAAAGAAUGAAUUUGGGAUUCUUCCCUCUCUCUUGCCAGCCAUGUGACAUCUUCACCCAAGUUAUAACACAGUCUGAAGGUCCUCACUGAUACAAUCCCCUGAUCUUGGACUUCCAUAUCCCCAGAACCAUAAGCCAAAUAAACAUUUAUUAUUUAUAAAUUACCCAAUCUGUAGUAAUUCUGUUAUAGCAUCACAAAAUGGAGUUAUACCAUUGACAAUUUCAUAAUAAUCAAUGUACAGGUCCUCAAUGAAAGUGUGUUGAAUACAUACAUCUAAGGAGAACAUUUUAUGUGUGAGGGACUUGUUCUGAAUUCCAUUUCCACCUCCCAAAGUUCCCUAAUCAGGGGCAGGUCAUAUGUGUGAAGGUCAUAUGUGUGAAGACAUUCCACAGCUAGGAGCCAUUCUUCAUGUGACUUUUUGCUCUCUGAAUACAAUGGUCACACCAAGAAUGUGAACAAAACCAGAGUUAUAAAAAGGGGAAUAGGAGAGUAGAUCUCAUCCAAUAAAGUGUUUUGUCAG